AUUCCGAGGUGCGGCUACGGCCAAUCCGUAUUGUUCAAAGGACUGUCAAGAAAAGCUGAUGUGUAGUGCUAAGGGGACCCGUACCGUAAACCGACACAGGUGGGUGGGUAGAAUAUACCAAGGCGUAAGAGUGAAACCUGGUUAAGGAACUCGGCAAAAUAGCCCCGUAACUUCGGAAUAAGGGGUGCCCUCUUCGGAGGGCCGCAGUGAAAUGGAUCAACCGACUGUUUAGCAAAAACACAGCAUUCUGCGAAGACGCAAGUCGAUGUAUAGGAUGUGACACGUGACCAAUGCCGAAAGAUUAAGGCAAGGGGUUAGCGCAAGCGAAGCUCUGAACCCAAGUCCCGGUGAAUGUCGGCCGUAACUAUAACGGUCCUAAGGUAGCGAAAUUCCUUGUCGGGUAAGUUCCGACCUGCACGAAUCGUGCAACGAGUUGAUCGCUGUCUCAACCAGGAGCUCAGUGAAGUUGUAGUGCCGGUGAAGAUGCCGGCUACCCGCAGAAGGACGGAAAGACCCUAUGAACCUUAACUGUAAGCUGUCACUGGUUUUUCGGUUUCAAUGCUCAGAGUAAGUGGGAGACUUUGAAGCGGCCUUUCAGGGGGCUGCAGAGUCAUCAAUGAGACACCACCCUUUGAAUUUGGAAAAUCUAACAUCCUGCCCUGAAUCGGGCGGAAGGACAAUGGCAGCCGGUCAGUUUUACUGGGGCGGUAUCCUCCCAAAGUGUAACGGAGGAGCGCGAAGUUUGGCUCAGCGUGGUUGGCAAUCACGUUUCGAGUGUAUAGGCAUAAGCCAGACUAACUGUGAGACUGACACGUCGAGCAGAUACGAAAGUAGGCCUAAGUGAUCCGGUAGUUGAAUGUGGAAUUGCUAUCGCUCAACGGAUAAAAGGUACUCUAGGGAUAACAGGCUGAUCGCGCCCAAGAGUUCAUAUCGACGGCGCGGUUUGGCACCUCGAUGUCGGCUCGUCGCAUCCUGGGGCUGGAGAAGGUCCCAAGGGUUUGGCUGUUCGCCAAUUAAAGCGGCACGCGAGCUGGGUUCAGAACGUCGCGAGACAGUUCGGUCCUCUAUCCUCUGUGGGCGUAGGAGAAUUGAGGGGUUCAAACCCUAGUACGAGAGGACCGGGUUUGACGCACCUCUGGUGUUCCAGUUGUCCUGUCAAGGGCACGGCUGGGUAGCUAAGUGCGGACUAGAUAAGCGCUGAAAGCAUCUAAGCGUCAAGCUAUUCCCAAGAUAAAUUCUCCCUGAAGGAUCGUGGAAGACUACCACGUCGAUAGGCUGUAGGUAUAAGUCUAGUAAUAGAUUCAGCCGAGCAGUACUAAUCAUCCGUUUGGCUUGUUCCA
rnacentral:rRNA from 1 species